rnacentral:misc_RNA from 1 species
UAUAUUUACAUAACUCCUAGUAUCAACCGUCUGACAACUGAUUUGAAACCGAAUCUUUGUGUUCACUAUUGUCUUUCUUGAUGUUUGUCUGUGUGCGUGCAUGUGUACAUAUGCCUUUUCUCUCUCUAUUGCCAGCUUCUAAGACUCGUAUUUCAUUCCAUAUCGUACUUGCUAGGCAAGUGGUUUGAUUCUGAAAACCAUUUGCUGAAAACGAAAACAAUUUCUGCGUGGAGGACAUAUUAGUCAUUAAAAAACACAGCAAAACUGUUAACUUAAACAUUCAUUCCUUGGUUGAAGUUAACAGUUUUUCGUGUGUUAGUUUCUUUCUUUUUUUUUUUUUUAUUUGCAAUGGCUAAUGGGUCUUCCACGCUAUAAUUGUUUCAUCGUGUUUAUAUAUAAAUAUCCAGGGUAAAACAAAUCUUACAGGGGACUUUAUUUAAUAAGACACCGGUUUCACUAUUCGGUGUUGAGUGAAACAUGGAGAGGAAUGAACAAACUGCAGAUGAUUGUCUCCCACCUCAAAUUAAAUUGAAUAGUGAAGUUCUGGAAUACCUGAAGACAGAAUCUCUGAAUUUCCCCAAGUCUAUUGAAAGUGACAGAGACAGAUGUGAGAAAGAAAUUUGUCGUAUACUCUCUCUUCUUCCAAUCCCGCCUCUCUUUACUGUCGUACGUGUAAACACCCUCCAACAGGACCCCGAAUCUCUACUCGCCCUCCUCAAAGAACAGUUGAUAGACAACCACAGAAAAAGAGCCGUGCAACUGGCUGAGCCUUUCUUCCACCCUCUCAUGCCCGAUGUUGUGAUAAUACCUAAUGCCGGGCCAGUUCAGUCGAUCGAGAGACGAGAAGACCAAAUAGUUGUUGACCACAUGUGUGGUAUGUCGGUACUAAGGGGAUCUGAAGUGUUCGUUCAGGGGAUCAUUGGUGCUCCUUUGGAUAUGACUCGUGGGGACAUUGUUUCGCUGUAUGUCGAUAUGGAAGGAUCUUGUCUUCGCGGACAAACACAGCCUUUGAAGGGGGAGAAAAUUUUUCUCGGGAACGGCGUUGCCCUCGUCAGUCGCAAUCAGAUCUUCCGCGACUCGUCGCCCGAUCAUGUAUUAUCAGGAGUCGGUGUAUCGGUAACGAAUGCUCUGUAUUCAGCUCCAAGACUUGACAAUUUAACCUCAGAUUUGAUAUUUGCCCAAAAUCUUCCCUCGGCCGUUUGUAGCUACGUGCUGAACCCUCAGCCAAACGAUACUGUCCUCGAUAUGUGUGCCGCUCCAGGGGGCAAAACCACUCAUAUUGCCACACUGAUGAGAAACAAAGGCCGCCUGGUGGCGAUAGAUCGCACUAAACUCAAAGUAGAGCGCCUAACCUCUUUAGUGUCUUGCUGGGGUCUAACAUGUGUUGAGGUUUAUACAUUUGAUUCCACAAAAUCACUUCAAGAUUCAGCUGAAGCAACCAAAGGUCCUCCCUACCCUCCGGGAACCUUUGACCGGAUUCUGCUUGAUGCUCCGUGCAGUGCUCUCGGCCAGAGACCGUCGUGUUGUAACAAAAUGGGUUUAUCGUGGCUGAAGUCUUUCCCCAUGUAUCAACGUAAACUACUUCGACAAGCCGUCGGACUGUUAAAAGUCGGUGGUACUUUGGUAUACAGUACUUGCACCAUAACUUUAGCAGAAAAUGAAGAACAAGUGGCUUGGGUUCUGGCUACCUUCCCUCAGCUCGUCCUCACUGCACAGGAGCCUCAUAUUGGAGAUACUGGUUUAGUAGGUUCUUCCCUAUCACCAGAACAUCUGAAGUUAGUUCAUCGGUUUAAACCAGACGUUUCAGGUGAUAGCAAAGACGCCUUUAACAGAGACACAAUCGGGUUUUUUAUUGCCAAAUUCAUUAAAGUGGAAAAUGUCAAAUAACCCGAGAAUUUAAUUGCUUGGACUAAUUAAUAUCAUCUUUAGAAAUGAAAUAUUUCAAAUAUAUGUAUAUUUACGUCUACAUCAAAACCUGUCAAGGUCGACUUUGCCUUUCA